rnacentral:rRNA from 1 species
AACGAACGCUGGCGGCAUGCCUAACACAUGCAGGUCGAACGAGACCUUCGGGACUAGUGGCGCACGGGUGUGUAACGCGUGGGACCCUGCCCUUAGGUUCGGAAUAACUCCCCGACAGGGGUGCUAAUACCGGAUAAUGUCUUCGGACCCAAGAUUUAUCGCCGUUGGAUGGGCGCGCGUUGGAUUAGCUUGUUGGUAGGGUAAAAGCCUACCAAGGCGACGAUCCAUAGCUGGUCUGAGAGGAUGAUCAGCCACACUGGGACUGAGACACGGCCCAGACUCCUACGGGAGGCAGCAGUGGGGAAUAUUGGACUAUGGGCGAAAGCCUGAUCCAGCAAUGCCUCGUGAGUGAUGAAGGCCUUAGGGUUGUAAAGCUCUUUUACCCGGGAUGAUAAUGACAGUACCGAGAGAAUAAGCUCCGGCUAACUCCGUG